rnacentral:rRNA from 1 species
GUUAAGCGACUAAGCGUACACGGUGGAUGCCCUGGCAGUCAGAGGCGAUGAAGGACGUGCUAAUCUGCGAUAAGCGUCGGUAAGGUGAUAUGAACCGUUAUAACCGGCGAUUUCCGAAUGGGGAAACCCAGUGUGUUUCGACACACUAUCAUUAACUGAAUCCAUAGGUUAAUGAGGCGAACCGGGGGAACUGAAACAUCUAAGUACCCCGAGGAAAAGAAAUCAACCGAGAUUCCCCCAGUAGCGGCGAGCGAACGGGGAGCAGCCCAGAGCCUGAAUCAGUGUGUGUGUUAGUGGAAGCGUCUGGAAAGGCGCGCGAUACAGGGUGACAGCCCCGUACACAAAAAUGCACAUGCUGUGAGCUCGAUGAGUAGGGCGGGACACGUGGUAUCCUGUCUGAAUAUGGGGGGACCAUCCUCCAAGGCUAAAUACUCCUGACUGACCGAUAGUGAACCAGUACCGUGAGGGAAAGGCGAAAAGAACCCCGGCGAGGGGAGUGAAAAAGAACCUGAAACCGUGUACGUACAAGC